GCAGAACCACACGCUGUUCGGCCUUGCCUCACCUCCCACCUCGCAUAUCAUCCCAAUCAUUCCGCCCUUCCAUAAAACAAGUGUCAGAGUCCCGCAGGUUCCCUCUCAUUCAGAUUAGGGCCUCUUCAUCAGAAGAAUCCACUUCUCUUGAUGCUGGUGAGCUUUUCACAGACUUGAAGGCAAAGUGGGAUGCACUUGAAAACAAGUCUACGGUAAUUCUCUAUGGAGGUGGGGCCAUAGUUGCUGUUUGGCUAUCAUCGAUCCUUGUGGGAGCCAUCAACUCAGUACCUUUGCUGCCCAAGAUCAUGGAGUUGGUUGGGCUUGGAUAUACUGGAUGGUUUGUUUACAGAUACCUUCUCUUCAAGUCAAGCAGAAAAGAACUGGCAACAGAUAUUGAAGCAUUGAAGAAGAAGAUUGCUGGAACUGAAUAAACUCCACAUGAUUGAGCUACAAAACUUUUCCUCUAGCACGGAUCUUUAAUUUAUUCAGUACUCUGCAUCCUCGCUCUAAGACAUAUUUGCAUUUUGUAUUGUAGAUUAGCAACCUGUAUGAA
rnacentral:misc_RNA from 1 species